GUAGUACUUCCUCCGUCCCAAAAUUCUUGUCUUAAAUUUGUUUAGAUAUGAAUGUAUCUGAUCAAUUUUUAGUAUUUAGAUACGUCUAUUUCGAGACAAAGUUAAGACAAGAAUUUUGAGACGGAGGGAGUACUUG
rfam:Hordeum vulgare subsp. vulgare, WGS project CAJW01000000 data, contig: morex_contig_243997